UGGACAGCUAGUUUAACGGUAGAACAUCUGCUGUAUGUCCCUUCUUCAAAGCAUUAUCCGCAAGGGUCGAAGAAUUAGGGUUAUCGCUAGGACGCAGGCAAUAGAGGUUCGAAUCCUCUCCUGUCCAC
rnacentral:tRNA from 1 species